ACGGGAGGCAGCAGUGAGGAAUAUUGGUCAAUGGUCGGAAGCCUGAACCAGCCAGGUCGCGUGCAGGAAGACGGUUCUAUGGAUUGUAAACUGCUUUUGUACGGGAAUAAAGUGCGGGACGUGUCCCGUUUGGAAUGUACCGUACGAAUAAGGGUCGGCUAACUCCGUGCCAGCAGCCGCGGUAAUACGGAGGACCCGAGCGUUAUCCGGAUUUAUUGGGUUUAAAGGGUGCGCAGGCGGAGGAUUAAGUCAGCGGUGAAAUUUUCAUGCUCAACAUGAAAACUGCCAUGGAUACUGGUCCCCUUGAGAGAGGUCGAGGAUGGCGGAAUGUGAUGUGUAGCGGUGAAAUGCUUAGAUAUGGCACAGAACACCGAUUGCGAAGGCAGCUGUCCAGGGAGCUUCUGACGCUCAGGCACGAAAGCAUGGGUAUCAAACAGGAUUAGAUACCCUGGUA
rnacentral:rRNA from 1 species